rnacentral:rRNA from 1 species
GACGAACGCUGGCGGCGUGCUUAACACAUGCAAGUCGAACGGAAAGGCCCUGCUUUUGUGGGGUGCUCGAGUGGCGAACGGGUGAGUAACACGUGAGUAACCUGCCCUUGACUUUGGGAUAACUUCAGGAAACUGGGGCUAAUACCGGAUAGGAGCUCCUGCUGCAUGGUGGGGGUUGGAAAGUUUCGGCGGUUGGGGAUGGACUCGCGGCUUAUCAGCUUGUUGGUGGGGUAGUGGCUUACCAAGGCUUUGACGGGUAGCCGGCCUGAGAGGGUGACCGGCCACAUUGGGACUAAGAUACGGACCAGACUCCUACGGGGGGCAACAGUGGGGAAUAUUGCACAAUGGGCGGAAGCCUGAUGCAGCAACGCCGCGUGCGGGAUGACGGCCUUCGGGUUGUAAACCGCUUUCGCCUGUGACGAAGCGUGAGUGACGGUAAUGGGUAAAGAAGCACCGGCUAACUACGUG